UUUAUGGAGAGUUUGAUCCUGGCUCAGGAUGAACGCUGGCGGCGUGCCUAAUACAUGCAAGUCGAGCGAACGGAUGAGAAGCUUGCUUCUCUGAUGUUAGCGGCGGACGGGUGAGUAACACGUGGAUAACCUACCUAUAAGACUGGGAUAACUUCGGGAAACCGGAGCUAAUACCGGAUAAUAUUUUGAACCGCA
rnacentral:rRNA from 1 species